UAGGGAAUCUUCGGCAAUGGGGGCAACCCUGACCGAGCAACGCCGCGUGAGUGAAGAAGGUUUUCGGAUCGUAAAGCUCUGUUGUAAGUCAAGAACGAGUGUGAGAGUGGAAAGUUCACACUGUGACGGUAGCUUACCAGAAAGGGACGGCUAACUACGUGCCAGCAGCCGCGGUAAUACGUAGGUCCCGAGCGUUGUCCGGAUUUAUUGGGCGUAAAGCGAGCGCAGGCGGUUUGACAAGUCUGAAGUUAAAGGCUGUGGCUCAACCAUAGUUCGCUUUGGAAACUGUCAAACUUGAGUGCAGAAGGGGAGAAUGGAAUUCCAUGUGUAGCGGUGAAAUGCGUAGAUAUAUGGAGGAACACCGGUGGCGAAAGCGGCUCUCUGGUCUGUAACUGACGCUGAGGCUCGAAAGCGUGGGGAGCGAACAGGAUUAGAUACCCUGGUAGUCCACGCCGUAAACGAUGAGUGCUAGGUGUUGGAUCCUUUCCGGGAUUCAGUGCCGCAGCUAACGCAUUAAGCACUCCGCCUGGGGAGUACGACCGCAAGGUUG
rnacentral:rRNA from 1 species